rnacentral:rRNA from 1 species
UAAGACAGAGGGUGCAAACGUUGCUCGGAAUUACUGGGCGUAAAGCGCGUGUAGGCUGACCGGAAAGUCGGGCGUGAAAUCCCUGAGCUCAACUCAGGAACUGCACUCGAAACUCCCGGUCUAGAGUGGUGGAGAGGGAAGUGGAAUUCCUGGUGUAGAGGUGAAAUUCGUAGAUAUCAGGAGGAACACCAGUGGCGAAGGCGGCUUCCUGGACACCAACUGACGCUGAGACGCGAAAGCGUGGGGAGCAAACAGGAUUAGAUACCCUGGUAGUCCACGCUGUAAACGAUGGGCACUAGGUGUCGCGGGUUUUGACCCCCGCGGUGCCGUAGCAAACGCGUUAAGUGCCCCGCCUGGGGAGUACGGCCGCAAGGCUA